rnacentral:rRNA from 1 species
GCGCACCAGGCGAGAAACCUCCGCAAUACACGAAAGUGUGACGGGGCCAUCCCGAGUGCCGUCCGCUGAGGACGGCUUUUCCCCGGUGUACAUAGCUGGGGGAAUAAGGAGAGGGCAAGCCUGGUGUCAGCCGCCGCGGUAAUACCAGCUCUCCGAGUGGUGGGGACGCUUAUUGGGCCUAAAGCAUCCGUAGCCGGCUGGGCAAGUCCUCCGUUAAAUCCAACGAUUCAAUCGUUGGGCUGCGGGGGAUACUGUCCAGCUUGGGGGCGGGAGAGGCCGACGGUAUUCCCCGGGGUAGGGGUGAAAUCCUAUAAUCCCGGGAGGACCACCAGUGGCGAAGGCUGUCGGCUAGAACGCGCCCGACGGUGAGGGGAUGAAAGCUGGGGGAGCGAACCGGAUUAGAUACCCCUGUAGU